rnacentral:piRNA from 1 species
UGGCUAUUUGUGAUGCAGCGUUGCCCCUGCU